rnacentral:lncRNA from 1 species
GAGGCCAAUCAUAUACACUCAGAAUUCUCCCACCCGUCCCAAGUGAGAAGAAUGCCAAUUUGUGAAAGUAUCUUCCUUUAAACCUUGGAUGAGAGGAUGAAGCGCAGGUACCAAUGGAAGCCACAAACCUGCUAUAGAUGUUGUUCAAAGGAACAUGUAAGCCUGGCUUUUAAACAUGAAGAGUGGGAAAUAACAGCACAGAGUCCAUGGACAUGGUCCUAAGCAGAUCGUGUGGAAAAGAAAAUCCAUGGAUUUCUGCUACCUCGGCAUAUCCCAAUAAGUGGCUGAAAAUAUGGUGUGUGUAACUAUUAGGAAGAAUUCUGCCUGGGGCCAAAGAGUAGAAAGCAAGCCCCAUCAUGGGCCCUAAAUCUAACCACAAAAGACCUGAGGAAAGAAGAGAGGAACUGGGAAAGGCAGGACU